rnacentral:rRNA from 1 species
GACAGAGGGUGCGAGCGUUGUUCGGAAUUACUGGGCGUAAAGGGCGCGUAGGCGGUCUGUUAAGUUCGGUGUGAAAGCCCUCGGCUCACCCGAGGAAGUGCGCCGGAUACUGACAGACUUGAGUACCGGAGAGGAGGGUGGAAUUCCUGGUGUAGCGGUGAAAUGCGUAGAUAUCAGGAGGAACACCGGUGGCGAAGGCGGCCCUCUGGACGAGUACUGACGCUGAGGCGCGAAAGCGUGGGGAUCAAACAGG